GAAGAAAAAGUCGUGACUAAUAAUCAUGAUUCAUGACGGUAUCAACAGAAGAAGCACCGGCUAACUACGUGCCAGCAGCCGCGGUAAUACGUAGGGCGCAAGCGUUAAUCGGAAUUACUGGGCGUAAAGGGUGCGCAGGCGGUUCUGUAAGUCAGAUGGAGGUUUCCGGUUUCAACCGAAGUGCGUUUGAAACUACAAAGCUAG
rnacentral:rRNA from 1 species